CCAACAGCGAACUUGGACCGAGGCAUUAGGAACCGUGCAGCUCGAAGACCCAGCUUGCUCCCUCCGCAAGACUUUUAAAAGACCUACUGACAUGGUCAGAAGCCAAAACAGAGACUUGGACUGCUGGAUAAAACCCAAGGGGCCACUCAGGCUCUUGUUUCCCAAUGGAAGCACAUUGGUCUCACAAAGGUUAAGUGACUUCAGUUACUGAAUAGCGAAGUGUGGAUGAGACCCUAGGGGCACACUGCGAGGUAGCCCCCGCCCACGAACUCAUCCCACUCCCACGCAGAUCCUCUCCAGGAGCUCCACCAGAAAAUUCAUUGACUUUUUUAUGAGGACCCGUGGGAGGAAGAAAUGUUUCUCAAGGCUAAGUAGCGAGAAUAACUAUGCUUCUUUGGGACUGUUCUCCAUUUUGUUCGUGGACUCUUGGAACGUGUAAUGGCUGGCUUCCCACUGAUGGUGCCAGCCAGGAAACUCAAGACUCUGGCAGUGAGCAGGAUAAUGAGUCUGAAAUGUAACCGCACCUGGAUUGCCUCAUGUUCCUGUACACCCACAGCCAGAUUUGGGUGGUCAUGAUUUCAUCAUUUAUCAUGGACACUGACUCAUUCCAUGCUGGGGCAAACUAAAUAUUUACUGAAUAAAUCUUCCAAGCUGCUACCAGAAAAUGGGAUGUGUUGGAAGCAAAGAAGCUGUCACAGAAAACAGAGUAACUGCAGCUGAGGAAGAAACUGGAAUCCGUUUCUCUGCACCAAA
rnacentral:lncRNA from 1 species